ACGUAGGGGGCAAGCGUUAUCCGGAUUUACUGGGUGUAAAGGGAGCGUAGACGGUUGUGCAAGUCAGAUGUGAAAGUCCAGGGCUCAACCCUGGGACUGCAUUUGAAACUGUGCAACUAGAGUGUCGGAGAGGUAAGUGGAAUUCCUAGUGUAGCGGUGAAAUGCGUAGAUAUUAGGAGGAACACCAGUGGCGAAGGCGACUUACUGGACGAUAACUGACGUUGAGGCUCGAAAGCGUGGGGAGCAAACAG
rnacentral:rRNA from 1 species